rnacentral:ncRNA from 2 species
AACGAAUAAACAGUAAAAGGUGCCCACCAUGGGAGAAUAGGGAAGUCCGGACGGAACCGCAGUAAAAGGUUUCCGAAUCGGCGCGGACCCACCACUGUAGUCGGUGAGUUUCCUCAGGUAAUACCACUGGGUAAACCCGGGAAGGUUUGAGAGAAACAAUGAACCGUUAGCCAGGAGACCUGCCUUUUAUCUGUGCAUGGG